rnacentral:rRNA from 1 species
UACGUAGGGUGCAAGCGUUAAUCGGAAUUACUGGGCGUAAAGCGUGCGCAGGCGGUUUUGUAAGUCAGAUGUGAAAUCCCCCGGGCUUAACCUGGGAACUGCGUUUGAAACUACAAGGCUAGAGUGUGGCAGAGGGGGGGUGGAAUUCCACGUGUAGCAGUGAAAUGCGUAGAGAUGUGGAGGAACACCGAUGGCGAAGGCAGCCCCCCUGGGCUAACACUGACGCUCAUGCACGAAAGCGUGGGGAGCAAACAGG